CAGGCCAUCCAUCCAAGAUCAUCUAUCUGAGCUGCUGAAAACUGCCUUGGUACAGAUCUGUUGCAGCUUUGUGUCACUGACUGUAUUUCUUCAAAUUCCUGUUCCGUGUCACAUUGCUUAUGCAAGACUGAAUCCAUGAAGAUGCUGUAACCAUAAAGCAACCAGGACAACACACCUGGAGUGACAGAGAGCAGGAUGAAGAAAGAAUCGGACGAGAAAAUAUCAACUGGUGCCCAUGAGGAGACAUAUUGUUCUUGGACCUGCUUUUUCUGUUUAGUAAUAAGUGGUUUUAUGUGGUUAAAUAAAAGUAAUUUAAUAUUCAAUCCACAAGCUAAAUUUCUUAGAUUUUCUUAAAGUGGUAGUUCACCCAAAAAGGAGAAUUCUGUCAUCAUUUACACAAACAGUUUGGUUACAAACAUUUCUCACAAUAUCUUCCUUUGUGUUUAUCAGAACAAAGAAAUGUAUGCGGGUUUGUAACAACAUGAGAGUGUGUAAAUGAUGACAGAAUUUUCAUUUUUGGGUGAACUACCCAUUUAACAUUUUUAUACCCAGGGGUAAAAGAAAUGUAUGUUGAACAUUUUUACUUAGUCUUAUUGAAAGUAGCAGUAACAAAAAAGGCAAAUUAUUCAGCCAAGCUUAUUUUGUACUUUAAGAAAUGAACAGCUUUUUUUAUGGGUUUUAAGACCCUGAUAUGUGCUCGCCCAUAAAAUGCCCAGUGGUCCCACAAUUUUCCCUCAGUAUGCCCACACUUUGUCCAUUUUGCCCACAUUUUCCCCAUGUAUUUGUAUUUAAAUACAUUUUUCCACACAGUAUUUUGUAUUUGUGAUAUCUGUGAAUUUGUGAUAAUAUUUUGUAUUUGAAUUUUAAAACAAUUCCAUAUAUUGUAUGCCUAUCUCAGAUCAUAUGCAUGUGAAAGGCAGUUUCAGGCAGGUAUAAAUGAAAGGCAAGUAUAAAUAGCAGAACACAAAAGGUUUUCUGUGUCAUUAGAAAUGCAAUCAAAAAGUGGGACAACAAGGAUAACUGAUCAUGAAGGUAAGAACCUUAACCAUGCCAGUUGAGGGAUAUAUUAUGGCUGAAAAAACAAUAAACCAAUUAAUGAAAUAUUCAUGUCAUAUGUGUAUUUACCAUUUAAAUUCGUAUUACCUUUUUGUUAGCUGUCCUAUUUUGAGAUACGUAUUAGCCUAAUAGUAAUAGUAUAAUUAAUAUUAUAUAAUACAUUCUUAAAAUGAGGAUAAACCCUUGGAAAGACAUAGGAAAUAAUAUAGAAAUUUACCGAACAUGAAAAGACGUCUUUUAACCUUUCACUUUUCAACCAAAUUUAGCCUUUUUCUAGACGUCGAUUUAUAGGCGUCUUUUCAACGACAUGAAAAACACGUUUUUUCACCUUUCACUUUUCCGACGUCUUUUCAAUCAGAUUUUGCUGGGUGGGGCAGUUACUUGUCAUCCAUGCGGUUAAGCUUCUCAGUGCUGCUGCUCAUUGGUUACAUAACACUUCCCUACUAUUCGACUAUGAGGUUCAUAGUCGAAUCAGACCUCUCCGAAUCAAAUCGUCGAAUCCUCGACUAUAAGAAGUCAGCCCUAGUAGAUUCAUAAUUUCCACGUCAUACAGCACUGUUUAUGUUCUGCCCUUUAGCAUACAUUAUCCUACGUGUUAAAAUUUAACUUUAAGUUAAAGUUAAAUUUAACAAAUUUUACUUUAAGCCCCCCUGUAGAUCCACCCCUGACACAGCUCAUCCUGCUGUAAAAUAUUUUAUUACCAGGGUUGCAUCUUGUGAUAUUACAUCAUGAUUUUGGUUCUUUGCACUGUCCAAAUGCACUUUAGUCGAACCACACUCGUUUGUUUGGAAACAGUUUGCUUGUUCCUUGUGCACCAAAAUUUGGAUGCCAGCAUUCACAUUUACUAAAAUAAACUGCUCCAACUGAACAAUCGCACCAUAGUUUGUUUAAUUUGAACCAAAUAUGACAUACAUGAACACGUCCUUAGUUUGCAAAAAAACAAAUAAAGACAUUUUAAAUAAAUACUGUUAAUGUAU